rnacentral:rRNA from 1 species
AUUGAACGCUGGCGGCAGGCCUAACACAUGCAAGUCGAGCGGAUGAAGGGAGCUUGCUCCUGGAUUCAGCGGCGGACGGGUGAGUAAUGCCUAGGAAUCUGCCUGGUAGUGGGGGAUAACGUCCGGAAACGGGCGCUAAUACUGCAUACGUCCUGAGGGAGAAAGUGGGGGAUCUUCGGACCUCACGCUAUCAGAUGAGCCUAGGUCGGAUUAGCUAGUUGGUGGGGUAAAGGCCUACCAAGCCGACGAUCCGUAACUGGUCUGAGAGGAUGAUCAGUCACACUGGAACUGAGACACGGUCCAGACUCCUACGGGAGGCAGCAGUGGGGAAUAUUGGACAAUGGGCGAAAGCCUGAUCCAGCCAUGCCGCGUGUGUGAAGAAGGUCUUCGGAUUGUAAAGCACUUUAAGUUGGGAGGAAGGGCAGUAAGUUAAUACCUUGCUGUUUUGACGUUACCAACAGAAUAAGCACCGGCUAACUUCGUG